rnacentral:rRNA from 1 species
UAUGGUAAUCCAGCAGCCGCGGUAAAACGUAGGUCACAAGCGUUGUCCGGAAUUACUGGGUGUAAAGGGAGCGCAGGCGGGAAGACAAGUUGGAAGUGAAAUCUAUGGGCUCAACCCAUAAACUGCUUUCAAAACUGUUUUUCUUGAGUAGUGCAGAGGUAGGCGGAAUUCCCGGUGUAGCGGUGGAAUGCGUAGAUAUCGGGAGGAACACCAGUGGCGAAGGCGGCCUACUGGGCACCAACUGACGCUGAGGCUCGAAAGUGUGGGUAGCAAACAGG